rnacentral:lncRNA from 1 species
AGAGCACAGGUGCGGCACACACAAGCGUCCACCACCCCAAGAAAGCUCUAAGACUGGGGCCUCCCGUGUCCCUAACUGAGAUCUCCCUGAGUGAGGAGAUGAAUUCCCAGAGAGCAGGGCUGCAAGCGCGGACUGGCAGGAGAGCUCCUCGUGGGCAGGAUGUCUCCCUCACCGAAGCUUGGAACAGACUCCUGGUCACUCAUCUUGCCUCAGUAAAUGACUUCCCAUCCUGCCAGAAGUGUUUGCUCCCUGACUAAACAGAUGUAGUCUCUGAGUCGUGAGAAGUUCUCCGUUGACACCAUCCUGCCACACUCAGCCCACUGAGAGACAACAACCAUUCCCUUU